rnacentral:rRNA from 1 species
UACGUAGGGGGCAAGCGUUACCCGGAUUCACUGGGCGUAAAGCGCGUGUAGGCGGCUGGCCAAGCGUGACGUGAAAUCUCCGGGCUCAACCCGGAAACUGCGUUGCGAACUGGCCUGGCUGGAGUGCAGGAGAGGGAUGCGGAAUUCACGGUGUAGCGGUGAAAUGCGUAGAUAUCGUGAGGAACACCAGUGGCGAAGGCGGCAUCCUGGCCUGUAACUGACGCUGAGACGCGAAAGCGUGGGGAGCGAACCG